AUGAACGCUGGCGGCGUGCCUAAUACAUGCAAGUCGCGCGCACAGACGAGGAGCUUGCUCCUCUGACGUUAGCGGCGGACGGGUGAGUAACACGUGGAUAACCUACCUAUAAGACUGGGAUAACUUCGGGAAACCGGAGCUAAUACCGGAUAAUAUAUUGAACCGCAUGGUUCAAUAGUGAAAGACGGUUUUGCUGUCACUUAUAGAUGGAUCCGCGCCGCAUUAGCUAGUUGGUAAGGUAACGGCUUACCAAGGCAACGAUGCGUAGCCGACCUGAGAGGGUGAUCGGCUACACUGGAACUGAGACACGGUCCAGACUCCUACGGGAGGCAGCAGUAGGGAAUCUUCCGCAAUGGGCGAAAGCCUGACGGAGCAACGCCGCGUGAGUGAUGAAGGUCUUCGGAUCGUAAAACUCUGUUAUUAGGGAAGAACAAAUGUGUAAGUAACUAUGCACGUCUUGACGGUACCUAAUCAGAAAGCCACGGCUAACUACGUG
rnacentral:rRNA from 1 species